CCUACGGGAGGCAGCAGUAGGGAAUAUUGCUCAAUGGGGGAAACCCUGAAGCAGCAAAGCCGCGUGGAGGAUGAAGGUUUUCGGAGUGGAAACUCCUUUUGAUAGAGAAGAAAAUGACGGUAUCUGACGAAUAAGGACCGGCUAACUCCGAGCCAGCAGCCGCGGUAACACGGAAGGUGCAAGGGUUACUCGGAAUCACUGGGCGUAAAGGGCGCGUAGGCGGGAUAGCAAGUCAGAUGUGAAAUCCUAUGGCUUAACCAUAGAACUGCAUUUGAAACUGUUAUUCUUGAGUAUGGGAGAGGUAGGUGGAAUUCUUGGUGUAGCGGUGAAAUCCGUAGAGAUCAAGAGGAAUACUCAUUGCGAAGGCGACCUGCUAGAACAUAACUGACGCUGAUGCGCGAAAGCGUGGGUAGCAAACAGGAUUAGAUACCCUUGUAGUC
rnacentral:rRNA from 1 species